AACCCAAUGUGACCAUACCAAACUGUUGCCUCGGCGGGGUCACGCCCCGGGUGCGUCGCAGCCCCGGAACCAGGCGCCCGCCGGAGGGACCAACCAAACUCUUUCUGUAGUCCCCUCGCGGACGUUAUUUUUACAGCUCUGAGCAAAAAUUCAAAAUGAAUCAAAACUUUCAACAACGGAUCUCUUGGUUCUGGCAUCGAUGAAGAACGCAGCGAAAUGCGAUAAGUAAUGUGAAUUGCAGAAUUCAGUGAAUCAUCGAAUCUUUGAACGCACAUUGCGCCCGCCAGUAUUCUGGCGGGCAUGCCUGUCCGAGCGUCAUUUCAACCCUCGAACCCCUCCGGGGGUCCGGCGUUGGGGACUUCGGGAACCCCUAAGACGGGAUCCCGGCCCCGAAAUACAGUGGCGGUCUCGCCGCAGCCUCUCAUGCGCAGUAGUUUGCACAACUCGCACCGGGAGCGCGGCGCGUCCACGUCCGUAAAACACCCAACUUCUGAAAUGUUGACCUCGGAUCAGGUAGGAAUACCCGCUGAACUUAAGCAUAUCAAUAA
rnacentral:rRNA from 1 species